rnacentral:rRNA from 1 species
UACGUAGGGCGCAAGCGUUAUCCGGAAUUAUUGGGCGUAAAGAGCUCGUAGGCGGCUUGUCGCGUCGGAUGUGAAAGCCCGGGGCUUAACUCCGGGUCUGCAUUCGAUACGGGCAGGCUAGAGUGUGGUAGGGGAGAUCGGAAUUCCUGGUGUAGCGGUGAAAUGCGCAGAUAUCAGGAGGAACACCGGUGGCGAAGGCGGAUCUCUGGGCCAUUACUGACGCUGAGGAGCGAAAGCAUGGGGAGCGAACAGG